rnacentral:rRNA from 1 species
AUACGGAGGGUGCAAGCGUUAUGCGGAAUCACUGGGCGUAAAGGACGCGUAGGCGGGUUGGCAAGUCAGAUGUGAAAUCCUACAGCUUAACUGUAGAACUGCAUUUGAAACUGCUAACCUAGAGUAUGAGAGGGGGAGAUGGAAUUAGUGGUGUAGGGGUAAAAUCCGUAGAUAUCACUAGGAAUACCGAAAGCGAAGGCGAUCUCCUGGAACAUAACUGACGCUAAGGCGUGAAAGCGUGGGGAGCAAACAGAAUUAGAUACCCCAGUAGUCC